rnacentral:lncRNA from 1 species
CCACCGUCGCCACUUGCUCCGGAUUGCUCGGGCAUCACAUUCGUUUCCUCCGGCAUCGACCUUGUCUGCGAUCGACGUCGAGGUGCCAUUGCUUCCUGAAAAGAAGCAACUCGCAUUAGUCACUGGACAAACACUACUUAACCAUACCCAAUUAGGCGAAAGCAACAUGCACAUUCAUCCUUGCCUCAAGCGUCAUGUCGUCGGCCGCCCGACACAACACUAGAAGUAGAGGAUAAACGAAAAUUAAACUUAGCCUCUAAUCACAUUAGAGACGUCCCUACUUAACCCAAUCACAUGCUUUCGCUAACUUUGAUCCCACGUCACUCACGUUUCCUAGAUCCUUAAGGCCUUCCAAUCCUAAGGGUCUCUAGGUCCAUUCCUAUUCUUUCACUCUUGGCUCUGAUACCACGCUAUCUGUCACGCCCCGGGACCGAUACCAAUUUGGCCCGACCCGAGCACGUCAAACAGACGCCGAACGGACAGAGUUUCCCCUAUCCGCCCAAGGC